rnacentral:rRNA from 1 species
UACGCAGGGGGCAAGCGUUGUCCGGAUUUACUGGGCGUAAAGAGCGUGUAGGCGGCCAAACAGGUCCGUUGUGAAAACUGGAGGCUCAACUUCCAGACGUCGACGGAAACUGUUUGGCUAGAGUCCGGAAGAGGAGAGUGGAAUUCCUGGUGUAGCGGUGAAAUGCGCAGAUAUCAGGAAGAACACCAAUGGCGAAGGCAGCUCUCUGGGACGGUACUGACGCUGAGACGCGAAAGCGUGGGGAGCGAACAGG